rnacentral:rRNA from 1 species
ACCACCGGGGAAAUGCCUUAGUACGGCGAGUGAAGCGGCAAAAGCUCAAAUUUGAAAUCUGGUACCUUCGGUGCCCGAGUUGUAAUUUGGAGAGGGCAACUUUGGGGCCGUUCCUUGUCUAUGUUCCUUGGAACAGGACGUCAUAGAGGGUGAGAAUCCCGUGUGGCGAGGAGUGCGGUUCUUUGUAAAGUGCCUUCGAAGAGUCGAGUUGUUUGGGAAUGCAGCUCUAAGUGGGUGGUAAAUUCCAUCUAAAGCUAAAUAUUGGCGAGAGACCGAUAGCGAACAAGUACAGUGAUGGAAAGAUGAAAAGAACUUUGAAAAGAGAGUGAAAAAGUACGUGAAAUUGUUGAAAGGGAAGGGCAUUUGAUCAGACAUGGUGUUUUGUGCCCUCUGCUCCUUGUGGGUAGGGGAAUCUCGCAUUUCACUGGGCCAGCAUCAGUUUUGGUGGCAGGAUAAAUCCAUAGGAAUGUAGCUUGCCUCGGUAAGUAUUAUAGCCUGUGGGAAUACUGCCAGCUGGGACUGAGGACUGCGACGUAAGUCAAGGAUGCUGGCAUAAUGGUUAUAUGCCGCCCGUCUUGAAACACGGACCA